rnacentral:piRNA from 1 species
UGCACAUCUAUCCUCGGGCCCACCUC